rnacentral:rRNA from 1 species
GACGAACGCUGGCGGCGUGCUUAACACAUGCAAGUCGAACGCUGAAGCUCAGCUUUUGUUGGGUGGAUGAGUGGCGAACGGGUGAGUAACACGUGAGUAACCUGCCCCCUUCUUUGGGAUAACGCCCGGAAACGGGUGCUAAUACUGGAUAUUCACUGGUCUUCGCAUGGGGGUUGGUGGAAAGGGUUUUUCUGGUGGGGGAUGGGCUCGCGGCCUAUCAGCUUGUUGGUGGGGUGAUGGCCUACCAAGGCUUUGACGGGUAGCCGGCCUGAGAGGGUGACCGGUCACAUUGGGACUGAGAUACGGCCCAGACUCCUACGGGAGGCAGCAGUAGGGAAUAUUGCACAAUGGGCGCAAGCCUGAUGCAGCGACGCCGCGUGAGGGAUGGAGGCCUUCGGGUUGUGAACCUCUUUCGCUCAUGGUCAAGCCGCAACAAUGGUUGUGGUGAGGGUAGUGGGGAAAGAAGCGCCGGCUAACUACGU